UCCGGGUUGGUCCCGGCGGUCCCGCUAGACACCGUAACUAGCGGCAGGGGUUGCGCUCGUUGCGGGACUUAACCCAACACCUCACGGCACGAGCUGACGACAGCCGUGCAGCACCUGUGCACGCUCCCUUGCGGGUCCCUUCGCUUUCGCGUUAGUACCACGUGCAUGUCAAGCCCGGGUAAGGUUCUUCGCGUUGCAUCGAAUUAAACCACACGCUCCGCUGCUUGUGCGGGCCCCCGUCAAUUUCUUUGAGUUUUAAUCUUGCGACCGUACUUCCCAGGCGGCACGUUUAUCGCGUUAGCUUCGCCACAAAAGGGGUCGAUUCCACUCACAGCAAAUACGCACCGUUUACGGCUAGGACUAC
rnacentral:misc_RNA from 1 species